CUACCUUGAAAUCAAAUUGGAAACUGAGUGGAAAAACAGUUCUCCUCUUGACCCUCUCUGCAUUUAUACUCCAAUCUACGCCCAACGCAUGGCUUUGUUGUACACUCUGUAUGAGUGCCCUCUAUAAUUAAACCUUUAUUCAAAUCUCCUCCUGCCUUCUUCAUCACCCUUGGUUAGAUCAAAACAGGAGAGGCAAAAAAAAAAGAAAAACUUGUCUGGGGUGCAGAAGCAGAGAGGAAGAGAUACUAUUUAAUGAAACAGGCUAACGGUGGUGGGGAGAGAAAGUCUCAAUUCUCCCAUCUCAGAAACAUUGAGCCUGGAAAUAUUGCUGAAAUCACAUUUGGGAACAAAGCUCCGCUUUAAGUAGGCUCACCCAUGAGUGUUGCUAAGCAAUGGAGAGAAGGCGAGAGAGGGAGAGCGCCUGACUUCAGGAUUAGAAGGAUAGAUAGAAGGAAAACCACUAAGGCUUCUAUGUAGCCUUAUUUAAAGUCAGCUUCCAAGUCCUAUGUUUUUCUUGCCUGUCUUCUGACCUAUUUGCACCACAAUUAGUCAAAUAUGGUUCAGUAUCACCACGCAUCCAGCACAGAGUUGCGCCGCGUCCUGGAGCUCUGGCACAAGCAGUUACGCACCAGAACUGUCAACAUGUCUCCACAUUGAACAGAAAGGAAGGAGAGAAGAAGAAAUCUUUCCUAUCAGAAGCAGCAGGGGUUGCUGCAGGAAGAAGAUAAUUCCCCCCUGCUGCUCUACUGACAGCCAUCGAACUCCACAGGAGGAAAACGGCGUUUUAAUCAUGGAAUUGAAAAACACGGCAGUUCCCAAAUCUUCAUCUCACCUUGGUUGAUUUACAUACAUUUAGGACAAACUGGCUCACUGUGGAAUUAUGUUGUAUGUGGAAGAUAAGAGAGGAGCGAAGAAUUCAGGGUAAUUCCUAGUUUGUAGCUGUGUGUGUAACCCCUCCAGAGCAUCCCAGAUAAACAGUGACCACUCUUCCUUAAAAGCACUGUGCAGACUUCCUAAUUUCAAGUCAUGUGCCUUAUAAACUCAGUGCUAUUUUAAAAAAGUAAAGAUAAAAAGAUAAGCACCUUAUUAACAACUGCAAGUCAAGGCCUGAUCAGGGUCCACCGAAGUCAUCAGAAAACCCACGACAGAGAUCCAGGGAGUUUUGGAUAUUUCAUCAGACUGUCAUUAUAACAAAGGCACCCCAGAAUGGGCCAGCUAAGAUGAAUGCAAAUCUUGCAUCAGAAACAGCCAGGCAUCCCCAAAAUUAAAAAUUUGAGCACACAGCAGAUUAUAGGCAGCAGCUUUGGGCAUGUGGCACAACAUCUGUUACAAAAACACUAGAAAGCAGACCUGCGGCAAACUGGACCUCUGCCAGCUCUCAGGAUUUUUUUUUUUCCCCCCUUGACAAGGCUGUCAGGAAAUGGACAGAUGGCAGCCGAUGCACUCGCAGGAUAGUUAGUUCAGUUAACAGUCAAGUAUGCUAAAUGAUUUCAGAUUCACUCCGCACCAGGCAUUGUAUUUUGUACUGAAUCAUUAACGCUGUGUCCUAAUAGGAAUAUAGUUUGGUAGCAAGAAACUGGCAGAUAUUGUAUUUCACAAAACACUUUCUCUGGAACAAUUUGUCAGGGAACAUUAGAACUGCCUUCAUGAAUAAAGCCAGAAUUGGCCAAGUUUACCAAGCUGGUUCGUGCAUAAUCUUAACUCUACAGUAUUCAAAGAAUAGGGAUUGAAACAAACAUUAAGAUGCAGGGCAGAUAGUAGCACAAGUUGUUCCCACACGUGCACUCAGCUGAAAAAGCAGCGUUAGCCAUGCACAGCGUGUGGGAUACCUUAUCACUGUGGCUUGUCUGCCUUACCACGUGCAAGGCACUGAGCUCUCCCAGCAGGCCAGUUCUCACAAGCAGCCCUCUGGAUGGGAUGACAUGCUUUUCCCCCCGGCACACUGAUGUGAAGAUCUGACCCAGGAAAAUUGGUAUUUCUUGACUUUUAUAAGCGCAACCCAUAAAUGAAGUUGAGGCACUAUAUCUUCACGAGGCAAAUAACUCAGCAUUGAACACUGGUGAACAGCACACAGGUGGACUUCUAGCAUUAAGAGAACUAUCUUUUUAUUCUUCCUCUGUAUGAUCAUAUCUUCAACAGUGUGUUUUGUAGACUUAGUGAGAGGAUUACUCCAUCAUCUUGCCUUUUUUUUUUUUUUAAGUAGCAGUACAAGAGUAAUCUUUGGAAGAAAAUAUGUUUGAAGAAAACUAAAAGUUGCAAAGCAUUACUGGUGCCCGAACAACAAAGGAAUGACCUACAGAGUCAGGUAAUGGCCUACAGCAGAACUGCAGGUGAUCUGACUUGCAGUAACAAUAUUACAUCAUGCUGUAAAAGACUUGUACCUUGGAUCCCACUCAAGAGCCCUCCAAAAGCACAGAUCUGACAGUGUAAGUAUUGAGCUGAGAGCAGCUGAGCAGCACCACACAUGAGGAUAAUCUCAACACCUCUCACACAGCAAUGAACCCCCCUAUGGUCCGUCAAUGAACACGACAUGGAUCUUCCACUAAGUUCCCAUUUCUGCUGAUGUUGGCUUUCUCCAGAAGUGUUUAGACAGCAUCACCACAGUUAGACCAGGAAAAAAAACCAAAAACAAUCAGUAACGGCAGCUGAGAGCUCAUCUGUCCUGCUCUAAUUCAGGGGUGGUACAAGAAUCUUCAGAACUCAGUUUGGCUGAGCUCAUUUCUUCUGGCUCAACUUUUUGUGAAAAUCUGAUUAAACCUCAGUGAAAUUUAAUCUUUGCAUUCCAAGCCUUCUUUCCAAAGGAAAAAAAAAAAAAAAUCUUCUGAGGGCAUAAAUUAUCAAGAGAGGUCACCAGCCAACUCUGAGAAAACAGGUGAAAAAUCGUUGUCUUUUCUCAGCACUAUUCAUCUGGUAAAUCUGCAAAGCUAUUCCAAAAAAUGAAUUGCAGAAUAGCUUCAUGUCACCUUUCAACAGUCAAAAAUACACUUUAUCAGAUAGAAAGUCAAAAAGAGUAUGAAAAGGCAGGACAAAUUAGCUAUAACAGAUUUAGGAAUGCCAGGCAUUCAUAAUAUUCUUUCAUAAUGCCAGACAGUCAUAAAGGCUGAAAAUUUGGCUCCCAGCAGUCCCAUGGUGUUAACUUAUUUCUCAUUUUCCCUUUAAUUCCUACUACAGCGAAAUAACAAAGACAAAUGUAGCGGAUAUAUAUUUUUAUAGUAACAGCACUUCCUCAUGACAAUUCUGCUUCAAAACCACACAUUAGGAUGGAAUUAGCAAAACCCAGUUCGCAGCCUGGUUUUUCAGCCAAAGGUCCACACUUCCCCCAUUAUCCCCCAGUAAUAUCUGUCCCACAUUGUCUCAGGAGAGAAACACAAAACAGAAUUCUUUAGCUUUCCUCAAAACAUUUUUUCCAUUUAUGGAUAAAUAAUGCAUAGCAUCGUUAGACCCAAACGAGACAACUGCAGAAUGCUGCUGCCUGGGUACGAUUGGCCAUUCACAGCAACAGAACGCUUUCGCUGCUGAGGAGGAAAGGGAUGUCAGUGGGAGUUUAUUCCCAUCUGUCAGCCCAGCAGCACUGAUGGUGCUGAAUGAAGUCUUUCUGCUCAUUCAGCAUCUGUGGUCUAAUAUUUGCCAGGAGUUUGAUCUUGACCUCUUGGGUUGUGCCUACAGUACCCAGGGUUCCCAGGUGGCUUCUAGCCAAGCAUCAGCCUGGUCUAGGACUGCUGAGCUCGCAGAAUCAGACUGCCCUAAACCACAUUUUGUUGAUACAGCACUGUUACUGGCAUUUCUUAGUUUCUCCAAAUACUCCACUAUGCAAUCCACUAAGAUUAGAUUUUGCAGCUUCGAGGAAAGAGAGCAAGCAAGUCUUAUCAAGCACAGCAAUCAUAUAUUUAAAGAGAAAAGGAAAACAAAUAAGCAGGUGAAAAAAUUGGCAGUAGGAAGGUUUUGCGAGUUUUUUCCUCUGGUUAUCUAACAUUCCAGCCAUCCCAGCUCAACUUCUUUUUACCUUAUAUUAUCUUGGACAAUGCAAAACAUCAGCAAACAUCAAAAGGGAAAUAAAAUUUUGUGGCCAAACCUAAUUAUGGAUAGUCUCAAAUAGUUGUAGAUGUACAUAUCAGGCAAGGCUAAAAAAAAAAGGAAGAUGGUAUAUAGGUCUACUCACUCAUAUAUUUUUUUUUUUAAAGAAUCUGUUCCCCCUAUAACUUUAUAGUUGCUAAUAGCUUCUUCUACUCAGUAAUCCCAGAACUCACACAAUUAUGCAACAAAAACACAGUUAUACACAUACAAUUAUACAUCAGUACGUUUGUGGAAUACAGUACACUGAUAGAAGUCUUUGUAUUUCAAUCAUGCAAUUAAAAGUUCAACACUAAUAUUGCAAUAACAAUUAUAAAACUACCUAGGUAGAAAGCUACAGAGUGAAAAAUCAGAGUGACAUCAUGAACUCUUCUAGUACAGAUGUGCAGUAAUUCUUCAUCUGUUCUUGCCUUGGCAGGUAAGAGGUUGUGCCCUGUUCAAGAUUACUUAGGAACACAUGUUCCUUGUGAACACUGUCGUGUUCAGUAAUAGACAUAAAUGAAUUAAUCAUUCCAGACAUUUCCAAGAAGGUUGGUGCCAAGAGACUAUGCAGCGAGUCUGCUUCUCCAGCUGGAUGGACACUUGCUCUCCCCAACCCUUACACCACAGUCACGCUAAGGGUGCGACACUGCCUUAGUUGGCACACCCUCAGAUAUUCCCCAACCUUGGGAACCAAGUUUGUCAUUCUUAACCAUUCUUAAAAGUAGUACUUAUAAGCCCGAAAGAGCAAACAGCUAGCACUCUCUUUAGGGUGUCCCUCUUCCCACCCCCCUUUUUUUGGGGGGGGGGGGGGGGCAAGCUUUAAUAACCCAGAGGUGUGAACACAUGAAAGUGAUUCUGCCAAAGCCAACAACUCAAAAUACAAAAUAAUUCUAUUCCCUGCCUGGUGACUUCUAAAUUUCCUUGGCUAGUCCUCAAAGUUUCUUGCAGAGACCAGAGGCCCUUAUCUGAUGGAAUUCAGCAUCAGUAACUUCAAAGUUGUGCUCUGCAGGCGUGAUGGGGAAAUCAAUCCAACCACGAUACGCAGUGAUUAGAUCAGCUAUUGCCACUCAGAAGAGAAAUGUGUGGACAGUCUUGUAUAAGCGUUAGCUCAGCAUUCAUCAACAAAGGAAAAAUGCAUCAGAGGAACAACACUUCAAGGAGCAGAGAAGGAAAGAAAAUACCUUCAUGUCUGUCACCACAAAUCCAUGCUCUGGGAGCAGUGCACCUUAAGAACAUCUCUAAAUGAAUCUGAACACCGACAGUUUCUCAGGUCCUGGAAAAGGGGUUGUCAAGCCCCCCCCCCCCCCAAGA
ensembl:lncRNA